rnacentral:snoRNA from 1 species
GGCCUCCUGAUGUUUACCACAGGCUGUGUUCUUACACUGACUGUACAGAAAGAGGAGACAAAGUAAACCUGUCCCAUAUACAUCUCAGUCCUGGUCCUGUGCCUGGUCUUUAUUGUGAAUGGGAAGACAUGG